rnacentral:tRNA from 1 species
GCGUCCAUAGUCUAAUGUAUAGGACAUAGGUCUUUUAAACCUUUGGUAUAGGUUCAAAUCCUAUUGGAUGCA